rnacentral:rRNA from 1 species
GGUUAAGCGACUAAGCGUACACGGUGGAUGCCCUGGCAGUCAGAGGCGAUGAAGGACGUGCUAAUCUGCGAAAAGCGUCGGUAAGGUGAUAUGAACCGUUAUAGCCGGCGAUGUCCGAAUGGGGAAACCCAGUGCAAUUCGUUGCACUAUCGUUAACUGAAUACAUAGGUUAACGAGGCGAACCGGGGGAACUGAAACAUCUAAGUACCCCGAGGAAAAGAAAUCAACCGAGAUUCCCCCAGUAGCGGCGAGCGAACGGGGAGCAGCCCAGAGUCUGAAUCAGCUUGUGUGUUAGUGGAACGGUCUGGAAAGUCCGACGGUACAGGGUGAUAGUCCCGUACACCAAAAUGCACAGGCUGUGAACUCGAAGAGUAGGGCGGGACACGUGGUAUCCUGUCUGAAUAUGGGGGGACCAUCCUCCAAGGCUAAAUACUCCUGACUGACCGAUAGUGAACCAGUACCGUGAGGGAAAGGCGAAAAGAACCCCGGCGAGGGGAGUGAAAAAGAACCUGAAACCGUGUACGUACAAGCAGUGGGAGCACCUUCGGGUGUGACUGCGUACCUUUUGUAUAAUGGGUCAGCGACUUAUAUUCUGUAGCAAGGUUAACCGUAUAGGGGAGCCGCAGGGAAACCGAGUCUUAACUGGGCGUUAAGUUGCAGGGUAUAGACCCGAAACCCGGUGAUCUAGCCAUGGGCAGGUUGAAGGUUGGGUAACACUAACUGGAGGACCGAACCGACUAAUGUUGAAAAAUUAGCGGAUGACUUGUGGCUGGGGGUGAAAGGCCAAUCAAACCGGGAGAUAGCUGGUUCUCCCCGAAAGCUAUUUAGGUAGCGCCUCGUGAACUCAUCUUCGGGGGUAGAGCACUGUUUCGGCUAGGGGGUCAUCCCGACUUACCAACCCGAUGCAAACUACGAAUACCGAAGAAUGUUAUCACGGGAGACACACGGCGGGUGCUAACGUCCGUCGUGAAGAGGGAAACAACCCAGACCGCCAGCUAAGGUCCCAAAGUCAUGGUUAAGUGGGAAACGAUGUGGGAAGGCACAGACAGCCAGGAUGUUGGCUUAGAAGCAGCCAUCAUUUAAAGAAAGCGUAAUAGCUCACUGGUCGAGUCGGCCUGCGCGGAAGAUGUAACGGGGCUAAACCAUGCACCGAAGCUGCGGCAGCGACACUAUGUGUUGUUGGGUAGGGGAGCGUUCUGUAAGCCUGCGAAGGUGACCUGUGAGGGUUGCUGGAGGUAUCAGAAGUGCGAAUGCUGACAUAAGUAACGAUAAAGCGGGUGAAAAGCCCGCUCGCCGGAAGACCAAGGGUUCCUGUCCAACGUUAAUCGGGGCAGGGUGAGUCGACCCCUAAGGCGAGGCCGAAAGGCGUAGUCGAUGGGAAACAGGUUAAUAUUCCUGUACUUGGUGUUACUGCGAAGGGGGGACGGAGAAGGCUAUGUUAGCCGGGCGACGGUUGUCCCGGUUUAAGCAUGUAGGCUGAUUGUCCAGGCAAAUCCGGAUAAUCAAGGCUGAGGUGUGAUGACGAGGCACUACGGUGCUGAAGUAACAAAUGCCCUGCUUCCAGGAAAAGCCUCUAAGCAUCAGGUAACAUCAAAUCGUACCCCAAACCGACACAGGUGGUCAGGUAGAGAAUACCAAGGCGCUUGAGAGAACUCGGGUGAAGGAACUAGGCAAAAUGGUGCCGUAACUUCGGGAGAAGGCACGCUGGUGUGUAGGUGAAGCCCCUGCGGGUGGAGCUGAGACCAGUCGAAGAUACCAGCUGGCUGCAACUGUUUAUUAAAAACACAGCACUGUGCAAACACGAAAGUGGACGUAUACGGUGUGACGCCUGCCCGGUGCCGGAAGGUUAAUUGAUGGGGUUAUCCGUAAGGAGAAGCUCUUGAUCGAAGCCCCGGUAAACGGCGGCCGUAACUAUAACGGUCCUAAGGUAGCGAAAUUCCUUGUCGGGUAAGUUCCGACCUGCACGAAUGGCGUAAUGAUGGCCAGGCUGUCUCCACCCGAGACUCAGUGAAAUUGAACUCGCUGUGAAGAUGCAGUGUACCCGCGGCAAGACGGAAAGACCCCGUGAACCUUUACUAUAGCUUGACACUGAACAUUGAGCCUUGAUGUGUAGGAUAGGUGGGAGGCUUUGAAGCGUGGACGCCAGUCUGCGUGGAGCCAACCUUGAAAUACCACCCUUUAAUGUUUGAUGUUCUAACGUUGGCCCCUGACCGGGGUUGCGGACAGUGUCUGGUGGGUAGUUUGACUGGGGCGGUCUCCUCCCAAAGCGUAACGGAGGAGCACGAAGGUUAGCUAAUCCUGGUCGGACAUCAGGAGGUUAGUGCAAUGGCAUAAGCUAGCUUGACUGCGAGCGUGACGGCGCGAGCAGGUGCGAAAGCAGGUCAUAGUGAUCCGGUGGUUCUGAAUGGAAGGGCCAUCGCUCAACGGAUAAAAGGUACUCCGGGGAUAACAGGCUGAUACCGCCCAAGAGUUCAUAUCGACGGCGGUGUUUGGCACCUCGAUGUCGGCUCAUCACAUCCUGGGGCUGAAGUAGGUCCCAAGGGUAUGGCUGUUCGCCAUUUAAAGUGGUACGCGAGCUGGGUUUAGAACGUCGUGAGACAGUUCGGUCCCUAUCUGCCGUGGGCGCUGGAGAAUUGAGGGGGGCUGCUCCUAGUACGAGAGGACCGGAGUGGACGCAUCACUGGUGUUCGGGUUGUCAUGCCAAUGGCACUGCCCGGUAGCUAAAUGCGGAAGAGAUAAGUGCUGAAAGCAUCUAAGCACGAAACUUGCCCCGAGAUGAGUUCUCCCUGAGACUUUAAGUCUCCUGAAGGAACGUUGAAGACGACGACGUUGAUAGGCCGGGUGUGUAAGCGCAGCGAUGCGUUGAGCUAACCGGUACUAAUGAACCGUGAGGCUUAACCUU